CAGUAGCCGCGGUAAUACGAGGGGGGCAAGCGUUACUCGGAAUUACUGGGCGUAAAGCGUGCGUAGGUGGUGGUUUAAGUCCGUUGUGAAAGCCCUGGGCUCAACCUGGGAAUUGCAGUGGAUACUGGGUCACUAGAGUGUGGUAGAGGAUAGUGGAAUUUCCGGUGUAGCAGUGAAAUGCGUAGAGAUCGGAAGGAACAUCUGUGGCGAAGGCGACUAUCUGGGCCAACACUGACACUGAGGCACGAAAGCGUGGGGAGCAAACAGGAUUAGAUACCCCUGUAGUCCCUGUCUCUUAUAC
rnacentral:rRNA from 1 species